rnacentral:rRNA from 1 species
ACGGGUGAGUAACGCGUGGGAACCUGCCCAGUGGUGGGGGAUAACUGCGGGAAACUGCAGCUAAUACCGCAUGAGCCCGAGAGGGGAAAGAUUUAUCGCCAUUGGAGGGGCCCGCGUUCGAUUAGGUAGUUGGUGAGGUAACGGCUCACCAAGCCUUCGAUCGAUAGCUGGUCUGAGAGGAUGAUCAGCCACACUGGGACUGAGAUACGGCCCAGACUCCUACGGGAGGCAGCAGUGGGGAAUAUUGGACAAUGGGGGCAACCCUGAUCCAGCAAUGCCGCGUGAGUGAUGAAGGCCUUCGGGUUGUAAAGCUCUUUUGCCAGGGACGAUGAUGACGGUACCUGGAGAAUAAGCCCCGGCUAACUUCGUGCCAGCAGCCGCGGUAAUACGAAGGGGGCAAGCGUUGUUCGGAAUUACUGGGCGUAAAGGGCGCGUAGGCGGCCGAUCAAGUCAGGCGUGAAAUUCCCGGGCUCAACCUGGGGGCUGCGUUUGAUACUGAUUGGCUUGAAUGCGGGAGAGGAUAGUGGAAUUCCCAGUGUAGAGGUGAAAUUCGUAGAUAUUGGGAAGAACACCAGUGGCGAAGGCGGCUAUCUGGCCCGUUAUUGACGCUGAG